AAGAUGCAUCAAGAACUAUUCUUCUUCAAGCUGUAGCCUGUAGGAGGAGGUUGCGUCAGAUGGAGUUCCCCCAUUCACUUCUGGUUCUUGUUUGCUUCUUCAGGUAGAGUUGAUUUGGUUUUGAUAAUUUUCGUGUUCAUGAUUCAUCGGGAGAUGGAUUUGUUUCUCAGUAUCCUCAUGUAUGCUGUAGCUGGAUUGUAUCAAAGCAAAUAAAUCGACGAUGAGUAAAGAGAUU
rnacentral:sRNA from 1 species